UUUCGGUUUACAAAUAGUAAACGUGUGUGUGUGGGGUGAGAGGUGUUUAUUCAGCGGAAAGUUCACCGUUCGACAGUUUCGCUGCAAAAAGAUUGACUUCCUUCUCAUUUUGCUCCCCUCA
ensembl:ncRNA EGAP7.2 ncRNA